UAGUGACAAUAUACGCAACUACAAUUUUAUAUGUAGCAGUUAGCGGGCGGGAGACGGGACUACGGGAGUGCUUAUUGGAUAAUUAUUUAUAGCCGUGGUUGGAACUAGGGUCUAGGAUCAUUCAAUUCUAGAUAGGUAUUGAAUAAACUAAAAUGAACUUAAUAAAUAAUAUACUACUUUAUAAAGAAAUUAAUAUAAAUAAUAAAAUGCUUAAAAAAUAUUUACAUAUUAGCAUAUUUUAUAUUAAGAAUACCCACCUAAAAUAAAAAAAGCUGUGUUGACGCAUUCUCAUGAUCAGCUGGUGUAUUUGUUGAAUCAUUGAUUAUUUCUUUCAAGUCCGCAAUAGUAAUCAUUGGAAUAUUGUCUAAAGAAAUUUGUAUAAUUAAGUAUUUUUCUAGGGUUUUUCAGUUUAGCAGCUUUAAAUAUUUCGUGGAUUAAUUCAGAUUGACAGUUGGGAAUAUCAGAAUUUUGUAAUACUUUAUCUAGAUUACAUUGGAGAAAAAAAUGUUCUGAUAGAUUGGUUAUUCCUUUGACGUAACUUCUCACUCUUUACAAUGUACCACAAACGUUUACACCAGAUACAAGUAUCACUGAAAAUAAUUACAG